UGUUGUAUCUCCGAGCAAAGGUGUUAAGGCUUGUGUCCUUAAGUUGUAAAGGUUUGUUGAGCACCCGUAAGCUUGACAAGUUAGUGGAAAAUCUCGAGCGAGUCUCUCGGGGACUGGACUAGCCACUUGUUGUGUUGAACCAGAAUACAUCGGUGCGUUUGUUCUUUAUUGCAUUUAAUUUCCGCACAUAUUUUUCCUGCAAGUUUUUAAAUUCUGCAAGUUUACGCUAAUUUUUAUUAUAACGCUAUUCACC
rnacentral:lncRNA from 1 species